AGUGAACGCUGGCGGCAGGCCUAAUACAUGCAAGUCGAACGGCAGCACAGCAGAGCUUGCUCUGUGGGUGGCGAGUGGCGGACGGGUGAGGAAUACAUGGGAAUCUGCCCAGUCGUGGGGGAUAACGUAGGGAAACUUACGCUAAUACCGCAUGCGCCCUUCGGGGGAAAGCCGGGGACCUUCGGGCCUGGCGCGAUUGGAUGAGCCCAUGUCGGAUUAGCUAGUUGGCGGGGUAAUGGCCCACCAAGGCGACGAUCCGUAGCUGGUCUGAGAGGAUGAUCAGCCACACUGGAACUGAGACACGGUCCAGACUCCUACGGGAGGCAGCAGUAGGGAAUAUUGGACAAUGGGCGCAAGCCCGAUCCAGCCAUGCCGCGUGAGUGAAGAAGGCCCUCGGGUUGUAAAGCUCUUUUGUCCGGAAAGAAAGCGCCGGGUUAAUACCCUAGUGUCCUGACGGUACCGGAAGAAUAAGCACCGGCUAACUUCGUGCCAGCAG
rnacentral:rRNA from 1 species